rnacentral:rRNA from 1 species
AUUGAACGCUGGCGGCAUGCUUUACACAUGCAAGUCGGACGAGUGGCGGACGGGUGAGUAACAUCUCGGAAAGUACCGGGUGGUGGGGGAUAACUAAUCGAAACGGUAGCUAAUACCGCAUAUUAUUCGAGCGGCCGAUAUGUGAUUAGCUGGUUGGUGGGGUAAUGGCUUACCAAGGCGACGAUCAGUAGCGGGUCUGAGAGGAUGACCCGCCACACUGGAACUGAGACACGGCCCAGACGCCUACGGGAGGCAGCAGUGGGGAAUUUUGGACAAUGGGCGCAAGCCUGAUGCAGCCAUGCCGCGUGUCUGAAGAAGGCCUUCGGGUUGUAAAGGACUUUUGUCAGGGAAGCGGUACCCGAAGAAGAAGCACCGGCUAACUACGUGCCAGCAGCCGCGGUAAUAC